rnacentral:snoRNA from 1 species
UCUUGCAAUAGUUCAUAGAAUCAUUUCUAUAGUAAACGUCCCUUACUAAGGUUCUUACCAGAGCCACAGUAUCCACAACCUGGCUGAUGACUGCUGGCCUCGUUGCCCUAGGGUGAUGAAAUAUGGACUGUUCCUUCACGGGAAUGCCCUUUUGCGUCUGCUUCGGCGGAUUGUGGAAAUGAUCUUUGUCCAGUGCUGGCGCCUUGCGUUCGCGCGGCCACUCUGGACGGGCGACGAUGGUGGUCUGACUGGC